rnacentral:rRNA from 1 species
UACGUAGGGUGCAAGCGUUAAUCGGAAUUACUGGGCGUAAAGCGUGCGCAGGCGGUUUUGUAAGUCUGACGUGAAAUCCCCGGGCUCAACCUGGGAAUUGCGAUGGAGACUGCAAGGCUUGAAUCUGGCAGAGGGGGGUAGAAUUCCACGUGUAGCAGUGAAAUCCGUAGAGAUGUGGUGGAACACCGAUGGCGAAGGCAGCCCCCUGGGUCAAGAUUGACGCUCAUGCACGAAAGCGUGGGGAGCAAACAGG